CGGGUAGCGGAUGGCCGCCGGCAACGAGCAAUCAAAGCUGGAGGAAAGUCCGGGCACCGCAGGGCAUGAUGCUGGAUAACGUCCAGGCGCGGUAACGCGACAGAAAGUGCAGCAGAGAAUAGACCGCCCGCAGCAAUGCGGGUAAGGGUGAAACGGCGAGGUAAGAGCUCACCGCACGACUGGUGACAGGAGUGGCAUGGUAAACCUCAUCCGGUGCAAGACCAAGCAGGAUUCCGUUCGAAAGAACCUGGUGCGGCCCGUGCCAGCUGGAUAUCCGGGUAGGUCGCUUGAGGCGGUCGGUAACGAUUCGUCCAGAGAGAUGGUCAUCGCUCCGAUGGCAACAUUGGAGUACAGAACCCGGCUUAUAACUACUCGACAU
rnacentral:RNase_P_RNA from 1 species